rnacentral:rRNA from 1 species
UACGGAGGGUGCAAGCGUUGUUCGGAAUUACUGGGCGUAAAGGGCUCGUAGGCGGCCAACUAAGUCGGAUGUGAAAUCCCCAAGCUUAACUUGGGAACUGCAUCCGAUACUGGAUGGCUUGAAUCCGGGAGAGGGAUGCAGAAUUCCAGGUGUAGCGGUGAAAUGCGUAGAUAUCUGGAGGAAUACCGGUGGCGAAGGCGGCAUCCUGGACCGGCAUUGACGCUGAGGAGCGAAAGCUAGGGGAGCAAACGGG